AACGAUACAGAGAAGAUUAGCAUGGCCCCUGCACAAGGAUGACACGCUUUCCCGGAGUGGUAGACCUACGGGUCUCAAUAUUUAU
rfam:Scleroderma citrinum Foug A unplaced genomic scaffold scaffold_307, whole genome shotgun sequence.